CUACGGGACGCAGCAGUGGGGAAUAUUGGACAAUGGGGGAAACCCUGAUCCAGCAAUGCCGCGUGUGUGAAGAAGGCCUGCGGGUUGUAAAGCACUUUCGGUUGGGAGGACUGCUUCUAGCACUAAUAUUGUUGGAAGUUGACGUUACCUUCAGAAGAAGCACCGGCUAACUCCGUGCCAGCAGCCGCGGUAAUACGGAGGGUGCAAGCCUUAAUCGGAAUUACUGGGCGUAAAGCGCGCGUAGGCGGCUAGAUCAGUCGGGUGUGAAAGCCCCGGGCUUAACCUGGGAACUGCAUCCGAUACUGUCUAGCUUGAGUACAGGAGAGGAGAGUGGAAUUCCACAUGUAACGGUGAAAUGCGUAGAUAUGUGGAGGAACACCAAUGGCGAAGGCAGCUCUCUGGCCUGAUACUGACGCUGAGGUGCGAAAGCGUGGGGAGCAAACAGGAUUAGAUACCCCGGUAGUC
rnacentral:rRNA from 1 species